rnacentral:lncRNA from 1 species
AGAGGAGAAAAGUUCUCAAAAGAAUCAAUAAAAGGGUGGUGGAGGAGGAGAUGCAUACGAGACUCCGAUGACGGGUGGCAAAGGCCCUUCAUAUACAGGUGCAGGUGGUGGAGAUGACGGUGGUGGCGGUGAAUUGUAAUGAUAAACAGGUGUUGGAGGUGGCGGUGAUGGUGGUGGUGGUGAAUUAUAUUGAAUUGGGGGAGGUGGUGGUGAUGGUGAUGGUGGCGGAUGGUAAGGUGCAGAGUGUGGUGAUGGUGGUGGUGGUGAAUGCUCUUCACAAGGUGGUGGAGGUGGUGGCGGAGGAGGUGACUCUAUACAAGGUGGUGGAGAUGGGGGUGGCGGUGGUGGUGAAUAAACUGGUGGGGGAGGAGAGUGAACUGGAGGAGGUGGUGGCGGUGAUAAAUAGGGAUAAACUGGUGGUGGUGGUGGUGGUGAAUGUGGUGGUGGCGGUGGCGAAUGAGGUGGAGGUGGCGGUGGAGAGGCGGCGAAUACACUGGUGGUGGAGGUGGUGGCGAAUACACCGGCGGUGGGGGUGGUGGAGGGGAAUGAGGAAUGUAAACAGGCGACGGCGGAGGCGGCGAUGGCAAUGGUGGUGAGGGAGGAGGAGGAGGAGGCAAUGAAGGCACAAAAGGCUUACACCUAAACGAAUUACAAUCGACAGGGUGCGACAAAAACGACUUACAUUGCCCAGCGGAGCGCUGGGCAGGCCUGGCCGGAAGGCAGUUGCGGCGGUCAUCAAACGCCGGCAAAGCGAGACAUCUUGGCGGCUCGCCAGUGAAGAAGUUAUAAGAGUAAGUAAAGUUCUGCAGAUUCGGAAGCUUACAAAUGCUCUCUGGAAUCUUCCCCGAAAGUAAGUUAUGCGCCACAUUCAACUGCUCCAAACUCACCGCACCACCAAUAGCAUCAGGCAAAGGCCCCAGCAACUGGUUGAAGCUCACAUCGAACACCGUCAAGUUCUGCAGCA